UGGUGUUUUGGACUUGGGCAUUAGUGUCUUGGAUAGCUUUUAAUAGAGCUUCGAUUUUGGAAUCCAUGUCCACUACGUAGAUGCAUAAAAUAAAUGAAGAUAUAUAUGAUCCUACCAACUAUAGAGGUUCCUAAGUAGACCUAAUGCAUGAAAGUAAUUUGAAAUUGCAAAGUAUAUGCUCAAUAUAAUCGAAAGCUAACUCUAGCAAUUGAAAUCAGCUUAGAAUUACAUAAUAAAUCCAGGCAACUAGUUGCAGUCAAAUAGUACUAGUUUUCAGUGUCUUGCAGGGCUGCACAGAGCCUCAAAGAACUCUCAAAGAUUAGGUAGCCCUAUAAUUAAUAACAAAGAUAGGCCACUACUAGGAUUUUGGUGUUGUCUAGAGUGGGUGUUGUGAAAUUUUUAAGGAGUAAUAUCAUUAGAGCACUUAAGAGUUAAUUGAUACUAAAUUUAGG
rnacentral:lncRNA from 1 species